UACAGAGAUACAGUGCUGGGCAUUGGUAGACAAUCAUAUUAAUCUGUCUAUGUAUCUAUUUCUUCUGUGUAAGCAGUUUCUUAUGGAUCCCCAGUUGCUGCCUCCUUCUGAAGCACAGGUUAUUAGAGAGGCUGAAAACCAGACUGGAACAGGCUCUUCAAAGGCAGCCUCUGGACCUGGACUAUUUAGAGUUCCUCUGUACCAGUGAGUUGAGCCUAGUUCACUGAGUACUCACAUGCCAUUUCCAGAAGAGGUCAUAGGCAGACGGGAAAAGCAGGCCUUAAAAGAGGGCUACAGGAUACUGGGGUGCUCCCAAUGAUAACAGAACGGCCAGAACUGGCUAGAGUUCUGUUCCCACAAGGUGGCUCAACUCUGAUGGAUCCUAAGAUGAUUUUGAAAAGAGUGGUUUGACCAGAUGAGGCGGAGGUUGACGAAGAUGAAAUGGAAGACUGCCGUGUCACAGCCUACCUCAGACAAUACGUUGCCGUGCCUACCUCAGACAAUACGUUGCCGUGCCUACCUCAGACAAUACGUUGCCGUGCCUACCUCAGACAAUACGUUGUAAGUGUUUCUUUAGAGACAUUGAAAGACCUGGUGGUCUUCUGGACGGGAUGGUCUGUUGGCAGGGGCAAUGCCGACUGUACUUUGAAACUCCCCCUAGGGACAAUAAUGUAUGACACCUUCAAAGAAGCUAUGAAUGCAGCGCUGAAAUAAAGCAAUUAUGGUUUUGGCUUGAUCUAGUGUUGUUUUCUGCAAGUUCAAUGCAGUAUAGUCAACAAUUUCAGUGUUUCAGACGGUGACCAGAGUUCCAGUUGUUCAAUGAAUAAACUAUGCAAUGAGAAA